rnacentral:misc_RNA from 1 species
GGAAGGAUCAUUAGUGUUUGCUGGCUUGGUGCCAUUGACAAAAAAAAUGUGGACUUGGAGUUUUUGGUGACCGUUUUGCGGGUUGUUGUUGCGAAUGGAACUCUGUGGUGUGGCUGAUGGAAUAUAUUGGAAUAAAACAACUUACAACUCUUAGCAAUGGAUAUCUUGGUUCCCGUAACGAUGAAGAACGCAGCGAAAUGCGAUACGUAAUGCGAAUUGCAGAAUUCAGUGAAUCAUCGAAUCUUUGAACGCAAGUUGCGCUUUCGAGAGCCCUCGGAAGCAUGCCUCUCUGAGUAUCGGUUUCUACAUCACACACACUGUGUGGAGAGUGAGAGUCGCGCGGGUGCGCGUUUCUUGAAGUUAUUGACGCGGUUGGCAAGUCCACCGGAUUCUUGGUACGACACAAUCUGGAAUGGCACCCGAAACCAUAAACAAAAGAUCUCAGAUGAGGUAAGACUACCCGCCGAAUUUAAGCAUAUAAUUAAGCGGAGGAAAAGAAACUAACUAGGAUUCCCUCAGUAACGGCGAGUGAAGCGGGAGGAGCUCAAACCGAAAAUCUCUGUCCGCCCGCCGGGCAGCGAAUUGUGGUCUAUGGAGGCGUGUUCAGCGUGCGGCGCCGGCCCAAGUCCGUUGGAAGACGGCGCCAGGGAGGGUGACAGCCCCGUUCUUGGCUGGAUGUCUGCCGCGUACGAACCGCUCUCUAAGAGUCGGCUUGCUUGGGAGUGCAGGCCUAAGUGGGUGGUAAAUUUCAUCCAAAGCUAAAUACAUGCGGGAGACCGAUAGCGAACAAGUACCGUGAGGGAAAGAUGAAAAGAACUUUGAAAAGAGAGUCAAAAGUACUUGAAAUUGCUGGGAUCGAA